rfam:Rattus norvegicus chromosome 20, whole genome shotgun sequence.
GGGGGUUUAGCUCAGUGGUAGAGCGCUUGCCUAGGAAGCGCAAGGCCCUGGGUUCGAUCCCCAGCUCCA